UACAGAGGUCUCAAGCGUUGUUCGGAUUCAUUGGGCGUAAAGGGUGCGUAGGCGGCGCGGUAAGUCGGGGUGUGAAAUCUCGGAGCUUAACUCCGAAAUUGCAUUCGAUACUGCCGUGCUCGAGGACUGGAGAGGAGACUGGAAUUCAUGGUGUAGCAGUGAAAUGCGUAGAGAUCAUGAGGAAGACCAGUGGCGAAGGCGGGUCUCUGGACAGUUCCUGACGCUGAGGCACGAAGGUCAGGGGAGCAAACGGGG
rnacentral:rRNA from 1 species